rnacentral:rRNA from 1 species
AUUGAACGCUGGCGGCAGGCCUAACACAUGCAAGUCGAGCGAGCGGCGGACGGGUGAGUAAUGUAUGGGGAUCUGCCCGACAGAGGGGGAUAACUACUGGUAACGGUGGCUAAUACCGCAUACUAUCGGUUGAACCCCUAGGGGAUUAGCGAGUAGGUGGGGUAAAGGCUCACCUAGGCGACGAUCUCUCGCUGGUCUGAGAGGAUGACCAGCCACACUGGUACUGAGACACGGCCCAGACUCCUACGGGAGGCAGCAGUGGGGAAUAUUGCGCAAUGGGGGCAACCCUGGCGCAGCCAUGCCGCGUGAAUGAAUAAGGCCUUCGGGUUGUAAAGUUCUUUCGGUAGCGAGGCGUUAACUACAGAAGAAGCACCGGCUAACUCCGUGCCAGCAGCCGCGGUAAUUC